GAUGAAGACGUAGCGAAAUGCGAUAAGUAAUGUGAAUUGCAGAAUUCAGUGAAUCAUCGAAUCUUUGAACGCACAUUGCGCCCGCCAGCAUUCUGGCGGGCAUGCCUGUUCGAGCGUCAUUUCAACCCUCGACCUCCCUUUGGGGAAGUCGGCGUUGGGGACCGGCAGCACACCGCCGGCCCUGAAAUGGAGUGGCGGCCCGUCCGCGGCGACCUCUGCGUAGUAAUCCAACUCGCACCGGAACCCCGACGCGGCCACGCCGUAAAACACCCAACUUCUGAACGUUGACCUCGAAUCAGGUAGGACUACCCGCUGAACUUAAGCAUAUCAAUAAGCGGAGGA
rnacentral:misc_RNA from 1 species